CAGCAGCCGCGGUAAUCCGUAGGUGGCAAGCGUUGUCCGGAAUUAUUGGGCGUAAAGCGCACGUAGGCGGUUAUUCAAGUCAGAGGUGAAAGCCCGGGGCUCAACCCCGGAACUGCCUUUGAAACUAGAUGACUGGAAUCUUGGAGAGGUCAGUGAAAUUCCGAGUGUAGAGGUGAAAUUCGUAGAUGUUCGGAAGAACACCAGUGGCGAAGGCGACUGACUGGACAAGUAUUGACGCUGAGGUGCGAAAGCGUGGGGAGCAAACAGGAUUAGAUACCCCCGUAGUCCCUGUCUCUUAUAC
rnacentral:rRNA from 1 species